CGUUUCAAAUGCAUCCAAUUUAACUCCUUUGUUUUCUACAUGGAGAAAACGGGUGAAGAGUGAUUUCCCUGAGAUCACAGAGUGAGUAAAUGGCAGAAAUGCACUUUAAAGCUGAUCCUUGACUUCUUUAAGUCUGGCAUUUCUCUUUCCUCCAGCCUGUAGUUGGCUUUAUAAUGAGAAGAAUAACCAAAAUUAACUAAUUCUAAUAACAUGAAAAAGACAACAUGAUAGGAAGGGCCCAAACUCAAACCAUCAAUAUUCUUGGUCAUCAGACCACCUUCCCAUUAUGAUACAAGAAUUUGGCAAAAUAUGUUUACCAAAGCUGUUUUGAGGCCUAAUUUCCAGAUUAGAGAAGUGUACAACUUGAUGGGUCCCAAGGAAGUGCUUAGGGUUCUUCAAGCUGCCAGAACUUUGCAGAACUUUUCACCCCCAUGGACUUCUGCCUCUAGGCCUCCUGGCAACAGAAGCAUGCUAAGUCUUUCCAGUAAAGUUCAGCAGUGGUGGCACCCAAAGAAAGUGUAUUUCCACUCAACAAGUACCUGUAUGUGAGACCAUGUACAAAAUAGACCAGAACAAGGGUUGAAAUAGAAUUAUAGUUCUGAAAAAUGGUUUAAAAAAUGUUGGUGUCUGUUAGGAUCUUCAAUGAUGUGAUAAAAACAGCUAACAUUUAUUGAGUACUCACUGCAGACCAGUGAUUGUGCCAAGCACUGUGUACAUUCUCAUUUAAUACUCAUCCCAAUCCUAAAAUCACAAGUUCCCUUUUAUGGAAGAGAAACAGCCAGAGUUAAGUAACGUUCAAGUCACAAAGCCACCAACCAACUGGGAAAAAUCCUUCUUUUGACUACUUUCUCCAAGAAACCCUCCACACCUCAGUCCCCUCCCAGGUCUGCUGGUCUGGGGUUCCACUCAUACUAACUGGCCUUCACUUCAUGGCUUCCUCUCCUCUGCUCUUCCAGGCUCUUUGUUGGCUGGGAGUGCAGCUUUCAUUUUGCCUUUGAAAUGACCAAUUUGGUCAAUGGCCACUUCUGUUAAGUGAGGACAGCUCAGGACAGGGUCUCAUUUGCUCAUCUCUGGCUCAAGGCCACCCACUCAACAACCACCCUGGUUGUUGAUGAAUUGAAUUGUGGGCUGAAUCCUUUUGAGAGUCUAAAACCUGCUAUUUUUAGGUCUACAGAAAAUUGAAGCCAUUGUUGGGAGACAGCUAUCUCCACUCAUCAUAAAUCAAGAUAAAUGGUUUCUGUCCUAAGAAUCAGCCCAACACUGGGCUGCUUGCUGUCUAGCUAGGAGCC
rnacentral:lncRNA from 1 species